AUUGAACGCUGGCGGCAGGCCUAACACAUGCAAGUCGAGCGAGCGGCGGCCGGGUGAGUAAUGUAUGGGGACUGCCCGAUAGAGGGGGAUAACUACUGGAAACGGUGGCUAAUACCGCAUACUAUCGGCUAACCCCUAUGGGAUUAGCUAGUAGGUGGGGUAAAGGCUCACCUGGGCGACGAUCUCUAGCUGUUCUGAGAGGAUGAUCAGCCAAACUGGUACUGUGACACGGCCCAGACUCCUACGGAGGCAGCAGUGGGGAAUAGUGCACAAGGGGCGAAAGCCGGAUGCAGCCAGGCCGCGUGUAUGAAGAAGUCCUUAGGGUGGUAAAGUUCUUUCGGUAGCGAGGCGUUAACUACAGAAGAAGCACCGGCUAACUCCGUGCCAGCAGCCGCGGUAAUUC
rnacentral:rRNA from 1 species